UACGUAGGGUGCAAGCGUUAAUCGGAAUUACUGGGCGUAAAGCGUGCGCAGGCGGUUGUGCAAGACCGAUGUGAAAUCCCCGGGCUUAACCUGGGAAUGGCAUUGGUGACUGCACGGCUAGAGUGUGUCAGAGGGGGGUAGAAUUCCACGUGUAGCAGUGAAAAUGCGUAGAGAUGUGGAGGAAUACCGAUGGCGAAGGCAGCCCCCCUGGGAUAACACUGACGCUCAUGCACGAAAGCGUGGGGGAGCAAACAGG
rnacentral:rRNA from 1 species